rnacentral:rRNA from 1 species
UACGUAGGGUCCGAGCGUUGUCCGGAAUUACUGGGCAUAAAGGGCACGUAGGUGGUUCGCUAAGUUACGUGUGAAAAUCCCCGGGCUCCAACCGGGGAAUUGCGGCGUGAUACUGGCGGACUCGAGGCGGGUAGGGGGUGAGCGGAACUCCAGGUGGAGCGGUAAAUGCGUAGAUAUCUGGAGGAACACCGGUGGCGAAAGCGGCUCACUGGACCCGAUCUGACACUGAUGUGCGAAAGCGUAGGGUAGC